rnacentral:rRNA from 1 species
UACGUAGGUGGCAAGCGUUGUCCGGAUUUAUUGGGUUUAAAGGGUGCGUAGGCGGUCCUAUAAGUCAGUGCUGAAAUAUCCCGGCUUAACCGGGAGGGUGGCAUUGAUACUGUGGGACUUGAGUAAAGUUGAGGUUGGCGGAAUUGACGGUGUAGCGGUGAAAUGCUUAGAUAUCUGAAGGAACAUCAGUGGCGAAAGCGACUUCCUGGACCAAUACUGACGCUCAUGUGCGAAAGCGUGGGGAGCAAACAGG